UCCCUUGUUGCUGCGGUAUCAGAUCUCCCAUGAUCCUUUAGCCUCUGUUCAGCCUCUUGCUCCCACUCGCUCCUCCCUGACCUCUGAGGGUCAGCUCCUCCCUGACCUUUACACCUUCAGUUCCUGCCUCUUUACAGUGGAGGACUUGAGAAAACAUUCCAGGCAGAUUUAAAUGAUAAACACAAUGGUCAAUAAAUAGAGAUUAGAUGAGAUCUACAUCAAUCAACAGGUAUGAUGGAGUGUGUUUGUGCGUGCGUGUGUGUGUGUGUGUGUGGGGGGGUUAUCUGCAAUGCUCCUCAGACACAGGAACUGGGGUCAGAGGUCAAACCCACUCUGGGCUUGUGCCAAGGUACAGAGCUCACGGCUAAUGUACAGAGUGCAUGGCUAACAAGAAGGUCCCUCCUGACCUGACCCACACCACACACACAGCACAGAGAACAGAACUGUUUGAUUAUGACCCUGUUCUGCUGGCUUCUGGUCUCUGGCAUAGCAGUACCUCGCCAAUGCCACGAUAAGCUCCAUUUCAAGCAUCUGAGUUAAGGAUCAUUAUUUUACUUGGUUUUUUUCUCCACACAUUUCUGGCGUACGGUUUGAAAAUCAAAAUCUAAA